AGAAGAAGAAGAAGAAGAAGAAGAAGAAGAAGAAGAAGAAGAAGAAGAAGAAGAAGAAGAAGAGAUCUGUGUCUCACAUUCUUCUUCAUUCUGUUCUUAGCCCCCUCCCCAUACACCUAGAGAAAUUUCUUCAAAGGAAGGCUCUCUUACAAAAACUCUGCUCAGUGGUUGGAAAUUGGGUGGUUUGUAGGACUUGAAGCAGACCCCAUCUCGAACCUGGAGGGACACUCCUGAGGAUGAACCAUGAAUACUUUAGGUUCUUUCGGGAGUAGUUUAAAAUGGUCUUAGUGCUGAGUGAGGUGGCACAGGCUUUUAAUCCUAGUAUUUAUUAGGCAGAGGCAGGUGGAUCUCUAAUUUUGAGACCAGCCUGGUCUACAGAAUCUAGAACUCAUAACCUCUGUAAUUUGGAAAAGUCAAAAAUAACUAUGUACUUGAGUUGUUGUAAUAAGGACUUAAUAGGAAAGUUCAAGUAAAGUCCCUAACAAUAUGUCCACCAUGUAGUAAGGAUGUCGAUUUUAUCUAUUGUUAUCAUGGCUAUUACAAUCUUUCCAAACUAGGUUAUCUAUUAAUGUUUUUUAGUCAAUUUUCAAAUCACAUGCUGUUUUAAAAUAGCCUGGAUCAUAUUAGGAGUGCAGCUUUGUGGGAUGCUCUUUUUAUAUUGGUUAUUUUAUUCAUUUACAUUUCAAAUGUCUCCCUUCCCUGUCUCCCCUCUGCAGAUACUCACAGCCAACUAUUAGACUGAUCCCGGGGACCCCAAUGGAAGAAUGGGGAAGGAAUGAAGGAGCUGAAGGGAAUUUUCUUUUUAAUCAGUGUCCAAUCCUAUGUUCUCAGUUACUAAUGGGGACAAAAUAUACAGGACUGUUUCUGAGUUCGCAACAAGAAGAUUCUGCUACCUGUCUUCACCUACUAGGAAGGAUUUUAAAUUUUCUGUGGAAUGGUGGAUGUCAUGUUACAAUGGCUUGCUAAUGAGGGGUUCCAGAGACAAGGCACUGUGAAUAGCUGAGAAAUGAAGACAGACUUCUGAAGACGCUAUCUCAGUUCCCGGAUCUGCUUCUUUCAUGGAACAAACUUACCAUCUGUGUAAAUGUCUUAUCUUUGAGCUGAGGAAAGUCAUAACCUAAUUUCUGCAUGGUUCUUGUUGUUCAGUACAUGGUUCUGAGGAGAGCUGUUAGGAAAGAGAAUAAAAGGGGAAGCUUUGGUAGCAUAGCAAACAAUAUUGAUGGCAGUUUCAGGUUUGUGUUGCAAUUUGGAGAUACUAAGUGCAUGAGAAGAACAGGACACAGAGGAAAGUGAGAUGAAUUAUACUACACAGCAUCCAGAGAGGGCAAUUCCAGUCCUGUGGAAACCUCUUUCUGAGCCCUUGUAGAGACUUUCCAUGUUCAUGUACACCACUGAAAACAACUCUCACAGAACAUUGCUAGAAGCCCCAUUUAGGAGCCAAUAUUGAACUAAGCAUCAGCUAGGGUGCAGAAGAACUCUGAGGAGGUGACCAGUGGGCUGCCAAGUGUGUUGUCAGUGACACCAGGACAUCAUUGAAGACAGGAGAGUUUGGAACUCAGAGGAGAUUACAAAUGGGAAAAUGUAAUAUAUUUAGAUCUAUAAGGGACAGAUUGUGGAGAAAGCACAAACUUCAAGGAAGUCAGAAAUUCUUGCAUUGUGAUCCAUACCAGGUUUUUAGAUUUGGCUAAUGUAUUGAAGUAUCCCUAGGCUAAAAUAACCAGGCAAACACAACUUCCACAGUGAAGUCGUAGCCAUUUCUAAGAUGUAUAGGUUGACAUAGUUUAGCUUCUGACAUAUGCACCCUCUGUUUGUUUAAAAACUCAGAAACCCAUUCCACUCUCUUUUUUUUUUUUUUUUUUUUUUUACUUCUUGAAGGGACAGAUCAUAAACUUAGGUCACACAUCAGCCCAUAAUUUCCACUCACUCAUGACCAUUUUGUACUCCCUACUGAAAGCAAUGGCAGUUGGGUUAUGGAUUAGAAAUGUGUUUCCUGAGAGAGAGAGAGAAGCCGUGGCAGGACAAUAUGGCGGGUGAUGUUAAGAUUCCAUGCUGUACCUUUACAGGUUGUUACAAAUGAUCUUAAGCGAUGGAUGGUACUGGGCUUUGUAUGUUUAGGUGAGCAAUUAUAUCUUACCAAUUGGGUCAAAGAUUAUUGUGUUGUGUGUUCUUUUAUGUUUCGAUUUGAGUGUAGUAAAGUAUGCGGCGGCAGGAGACACUAGGCCGCGGAGGAGUUGGGAUGUGUUUCUGCCAAAAUAUCUAGCAGAUAUCUUGGGGGCACCAUGGUGGUGGACCUAGCAGGGUAAAAGAUAACCUUACUUUUUUAUUUUUUUAUAUUUUUACAACAACAGAUGGUGAGCCAUUGUGAUGGGCAAGAAUCCACAGCAAUCCUAAGAGUUGAGAGAAAGUUUUUAUUUUCUAAGUAAGAGGAGGCCAGUGCCAUGUUAAGUCAUGUGGUAUCUCAAGGGUGGGAAUUUAACAAAGAAACAGGGAAGUAGCCUGGGCUGGCAGGCCAUAGGUCCCCUGCUGUGUGAUAAGUAAUGGCAGCUCAGAUAGUUAGAGAUUAAAAGUUGCUUUUUAAAGAAAGUUGUUUAGAAAGUCUUUCAGGAUACUCAUAUUCUUUUUAACAUGGGCUCCAUGGGAAUUUUGGGUUGAAAUCCUAGUUAAACAAGCUACUUCUUAAUUACAGGUAUUAUUUAAAGGUGAUUAAGUUUGUUUUUAGAAAGAAGAGAGUAAAGAGAUUCCCUGAAUCAGGUGGGGAUUUUCAUCCACCAUUCAGAACUUAGGGAAAAAUUGGUCACUAACUCCAAGUAGAGAGUUGUGUAAAUGUCUGUAACACCAGGGAGAGUGAAUGCAGGCAUAUAUUAUAGAAGUUAUUAAGGUUAAAUAAAAAUCUGUGGCUCCGGGUAGAGAGCUUAACAGAUGGAUAUAUUUUGGACUAAAGUCCUGGUUUGAUAUGUUGCUUAUUGAUAUUGGAAUUGAUAGAAGGUAUUUGGUUUGUUUUAUGAAUUACCCCGCUAAAGGUCAUAUGGCUCGUUGAUGCCAGCUAGUGAGGGUUUGUGGUUAUUUUUUAUAUCUACCACAACAGGAAGCUCAGAUUCUCUUAACAUGGGCUCCACAGGAAUUUUGGGUUAAUUUCCUGAUAUAACAGAGUACAAAAGCCUAUCAGGCUCAUUGAUUAGCUUACUUCCUUUGUAAAAAAAAACUGUUUAAUCUUCAUAAUGGGUGUGACUGAGUUUUAUGGUUAUAUUAUUACUCUGGGAGAGAGUGCAAGAUAACAAGCUUUUCUGGUUACAGACUAAGGAGCACAGUAUAUUGGGAGAAAGAUUUUGUCUUUGUGUUUUUAAAAUGUCUGAUGAGGCUCUGGAAACCUCACAGAGUCAUACUGAUCAGAUUUGAUAGAGGUAGACUGCCUGAAAAAAUUAAUGCAGGAGAAUCAAACAGAGAUCUCGAUUCUAAACUUUUGUCUUGAGAGCUGUAUUUUACAGAGUAUGCCUACUUGGAUUCCUGGUCUCAAGGACUUUCAGCUGGGUCCAGUCAGGAUGCAUCCAGCUACAGCAUUUGCUUCAUUCUUCCUACCCUCUACCCCCAAGGAUAUCUCAACGCCCACGUACAGCUUGAAGAAGUUAUGGAGGAGUCAUUGCCCCAAUUCCCUGGACUUUUGGGGGGAUGAAAACAGUUAUUCUAAAGUUGUUUUUAUGAGGAAUUUAAAAUUGGUUGUAAUUUAACAGGGAGGAAUUAGCUAGAUUGAGUUGUAUAGUUAUAAUCUCAUUUCAUAACUAAGCUAAAAUCAUAUCUUUGCUUUGAUAUAGAAUUUAUUUGUUAAAAGUUUAAAAGUACAAGGUUUAGAGCCAGUCCUUCUAAUGAUGUCAUUACUAACUUCUGAGUUGAUUAUACCUGUGAGUUAAGGGCCAAAUAAUAAACAUAUUGCUGAGUUUGGGAGAGUAUAUUCAAGAUAUUAUUAAGAUACAAAGACAACAGUACAGAUUGUCUUAUAUAGGUAGAUGGUUUUCAACAACGUCAGAAAUCCACAAAAAUUGAGAUUUAAAGUUAUUUAUCUUUUGUUGAGACAUAUCUGCUCCUAACAGUUCCCCUUUGGCAGAUUUAGCAAAGAAUUUGAACAUCUCUACAUCCAGGUGAGGCAACACUUUGUGGCUAGGCAGCUACUAGACAAAACUGCCUGUUUCAUCUGCAGACUAAUACUGUCCAGAAAAGGACAAAUUAUGCAGAAUAGUUGACUGAUAAACUCUACCAAGACAGGGUGAUCAGCCUUUCAAAAUCUGCAUUUCAAGAGUCUAUCAGUUGAUUUUGGGCUAGAAGGCUGAAUGAAGACUUGUGCUCACAUGUUGCUAACAGGGGACUGUGCUAGUGGAGAUUUGUCUCUACAACCUCUCAGUUCUGGAAGCCAUGUUAGGCUUCCUAUGUGUAUAGAUAUUUGGUCAUUCAAAGAUUUCUGACAGGGUUGAAGACUGAUUACAGUCUCAUAGCCUAUCAGAUUGUUUAACUCUGAAGAUACAUAUUUAUUGGAUAGUUAUCAGAUAGUAUACAAGCUAACCAAGAUAUAAUAAUAGAUUUUUAAGCCUUUCUUAAGCUGGAAUGCAUAACUAAAUGUUCUGUUUAACUGAUACAGUGAUGAACUGGGUGUUGAGUAUAGUAUAUGUUUUAUAAAUUGUAAAAUGGUAAUUAUUGUAAUCAAUUUAUAUAUAAGUGAAAAGCCUUUUUAACUGGAUAAAAAGGGGGGGGGAUGUUGUGGUUUUCCCUGGAGUUAACUGUAUUUUGAUGUUAAUUCCAGGACAGCUGCCUAAUUACAUACUCAGGAAUCAGGUGACUUCACCAGAACCUUCUCCCCUUUGAAUUUGUAAAAUACAGGUGAGGGGCAGGUACAAGAUAGAAGGAGCAGUGGGCAUGUGAAAAGACUGAAACUAGUUUAUAAACUGGCUGAUAACUAGAAGGUUAAUUUCAUUAUUAGAAACUGACUAUGUCAUGAUCCUGACUCCUCUGUGAAGCUGGGUAUAUCAGAAACCAAAAAUAUCCCUAGCAUAAAUCAUACCUCUUCUAGCAUCUGACAGCCACUGUCUCAAACUCAAUUAGCCAUUAGGCACAAAGAAGCCAACACCAUCACAGAUUCAUACAUGCUUAAUGGAUAAAGCAUGAUGUGGGAACACAUCUGACAGGCUCUGUCUCAAACUCAAUUAGCCACUGGGCACAAGGAAGCCAACACCAUCAGAGAUUCAAACGUGUUAAAUGGAUAAAGCAUGAUGUGGGAAGUGAUUUCCUCAACUUAAUCUCUGCAGUUCAGUGUUCAUUAGUAGAUCUAUUAAAAUAAUUAGGGCAACACGGGAAGUAUAGUUAAAGCUGGGUUAAGCAGAUAUGCUUUAUUUUUUAAAAGAUUCAAUCAAUUUUAUCCCAGAGGUAUAAAAAUAAAAUUUGGGAGGCAGAGCAAAUGAAACAGGCACCAGAGGAUAUAUAGAACAUUUAAUCAGAAAGCUGCUCUCAUUGCCUGGACAAGAGCCCUUAGCCCUGAGAGCAAUUUUUGAAACUUAGACUCCGAACAUAGGACAAAACCAGACUCCAGUGAUUUUCAUUGCUGACUAAGAUGCUUCUUGGUAAGAAGCUAAGCAAAGACAAGGUUUCAUUCAUUGUCACUAGAAAAUAAAUAUGUGAGUUACUUCUACUAGUCCAGUUUUAGCAGUUUUCUAUACGAUGAUGUCUCCACAAUAUCUGUUUUUCUGUUGAGGAUUAAUAAAGGUAUAGUUAAUAAAAUUAUACCAAACAGAGUUUAUUUGUAGUUUCCUGAUGCUAUAACUGACAGGCUCUAAUAUAAAUACUUGAAUAGAAUUUUAGUCUGGGAGGCAAUUUUAGACAGUGUCUCUCUGUGAAUGUGUACAUGCAUGUGCAUGUGUGUAUGCAUUUGCACAUGUGCAUCUGUAUUCUCGCACAUGUAAUUGUACAUGCGUCCAGAAGCCACAAGU